UUUUAUUAUUUGUACAAAAAAAAUUACUCAUUCAUUUCCUCUCAUAUUCACUUCUAUCAAAUAAACUUUCUUUCUUUUCAUUUUCUUUCCUUUUAACAAUUUUUCUAUUCACUUUCUUUACCUUUUAAUCCAAACAAAGCAAUAGGGAGAAAUAAAUUCUAUAUCGUGUUUCAAUCAGAACAUCUUGUUUCUGUCUUCUCGCCGUCAAACUCU
rnacentral:lncRNA from 1 species